UACGUAGGGGGCAAGCGUUAUCCGGAAUCACUGGGCGUAAAGCGUUUGUAGGUGGUUUAGUAAGUCUAUUAUUAAAGCUUGAAGCUUAACUUCAAAAGUGUAAUAGAAACUACUAGACUUGAGGAUAGUAGGGGUAAAGGGAAUUUCCAGUGGAGCGGUGAAAUGCGUAGAGAUUGGAAGGACCACCGAUGGCGAAGGCACUUUACUGGGCUAUUUCUGACACUAAGAGACGAAAGCUAGGGUAGCGAAUGGG
rnacentral:rRNA from 1 species